AUUAGAGUUUGAUUAUGGCUCAGGAUGAAGUGGCGGCAUGCCUAAGACAUGCAAGUCGAACGAGGUGGCCCAAAGAAGAUUGAGUGCUUGCACAAGAUUGGACUUGGAUUACCACCUAGUGGCGGACGGGUGAGUAACACGUAGGUGACCUGCCUUUGAGUUUGGGAUAACUAUUAGAAAUGAUAGCUAAUACCGAAUUAAAUGCAGAUUCGUUUCUGUAUUAAAAGGAGCCUUUAAAGCUUCGCUUAAAGAUGGGCCUGCGGCGUAUUAGCUAGUUGGUGAGGUAAUGGCUUACCAAGGCGACGAUGCGUAGCCGAACUGAGAGGUUGAUCGGCCACAUUGGGACUGAGACACGGCCCAAACUCCUACGGGAGACAGCAGUUAGGAAUAUUCGUCAAUGGGGGAAACCCUGAACGAGCAAUGCCGCGUGAACGAUGAAGGCCCUAUGGGUUGUAAAGUUCUGUUGCAUGGGACGAACGAUUAGGAUAGGAAAUGAUCUUAAUGUGACGGUACCAUGCCAGAAAGCUCCGGCUAACUACGUGCCAGCAGCCGCGGUAAUACGUAGGGAGCAAGCGUUAUCCGGAUUUAUUGGGCGUAAAGGGUGCGUAGGCGGUUUGUUAAGUAUGAGAUUAAAGCCCGAGGCUUAACCUCGGUUCGUUUCAUAAACUGGCAGGCUUGAGUGUGGCAGAGGUAAACGGAAUUUCUAGUGUAGCGGUUAAAUGCGUAGAUAUUAGAAGGAACACCAGUGGCGAAGGCGGUUUACUGGGCCAUCAACUGACGCUGAGGCACGAAAGCCUGGGGAGCAAAUAGGAUUAGAUACCCUAGUAGUCCACGCCGUAAACGAUGAGUACUAAGUGUUGGGGCAACUCAGUUGCUGAAGUUUAACACAUUUAAGUACUCCGCCUGAAUAGUACGGUCGCAAGGCUGAAAACUCAAAGGAAAUUGACGGGGCACCCCGCACAAGCAGUGGAGCAUGCUGUUUAAUUUCGAAGAUACGCGAAGAACCUUACCAGGGCUUGACAUCCCACUGACCGCUUUAGAAAUAAGGCUUUUCCCUUCGGGGACAGUGGUGACAGGUGGUGCAUGGUUGUCGUCAGCUCGUGUCGUGAGAUGUUCGGUUAAGUCCGAUAACGAGCGCAACCCUUUUCUCUAAUUGCUAACAUUCAGUUGAGAACCUUAGAGAUACUGCCGGUGACAAACCGGAGGAAGGUGGGGAUGACGUCAAAUCAUCAUGCCCCUUACGUCCUGGGCUACAGGCGUGCUAUAAUGGCAGAUAUAAAAAGUCGCAAAACCGUGAGGUGGAGCUAAUCUGUAAAGUCUGUCUCAGUUCGGAUUGAAGUCUGCAACUCGACUUCAUGAAGCUAGAAUUGCUAGUAAUCGUGGAUCAGAAUGCCACGGUGAAUACGUUCCCGGGUGUUGUACACACCGCGGAGUCACGCCAUGGGAGUCUGUAAUAUCUAAAAAUGGUAGCCUAACCGUUUACGGAGGGAUCCAUCUAAGGUAGGACAGUGACUGGGGUGAAGUCGUAACAAGGUAUCACUACCUAGCUGGGAUGGAUCACCUCCUUUCUGAAU
rnacentral:rRNA from 1 species